rnacentral:lncRNA from 1 species
UUUCCUAGGUAAGUGCCUUAAAACACCUCACGAGGUCAUUAUAAUAUACAUAAAUGCAGUCUUCCGACGGCUAAAAAUAGGCAAGCAUCGUUAAUGGCAGUGUUAAAUAUUAACUUUUCCUGAUAAUGCAAAAUGAAAAAUUCCUCCUUUAAUCCCACGCUCUUUUAACAAAGUCAGUCUAUUGCACAGGUAUUAGAAUGGCUCUUGUUGCAGAUGUGCUGUGCAGGAAACAUCCACUUGUGCAAAGCACACCUUUGGAAAUUACACGAGUCUAAAGCAACUCUUUCAAUCACUAGAACCAAAAUUCAGUUUUCCUUGGAAUUCAUCACGGAAAAACACUUGCAGUUCGCUUGCAGUACAGAACAAUGCACAAACACCUCAAACGAAACCUUUCUUCAGCGCUUCAAGAUUUGUUCCGUUUCGAAAAUAUAUUUAUCAUGACAAUAGAUUCUUUUGUUUGCAAAAAAAAAACUAUCUACCACUAAGUAUGUUUAGAACUUGCACCAAUAAGUAUGAAACGAACUCUGACAAUCUAUAAGAGGAAUAUUUUUAGCAAAUUUGCUAAUCUUUCUAUUUUUUAAAAGUAUAUCAAGGGUUUUAUAUUGAAGGUUGAAUCCGAAGAAAGUAAACCAUCGUCGACUGGAGAGAAUUUCAAUUCAACGAUAUCUGUCCAAAGGAACGCAAAGAACUUCAAAAUGGUCAAUGCUCUAAAGCUGGUCGCCGAUAUUUUUACGCUCACUGGGUGCUUGGUGUUAUUGUUUGGUUCCAUUGGAUAUGUUGGCGCCAGACCUCAAAGCCCUAAGCCAUCUUCUGUCACCUGCAGUACCAUAACGGCAGAAAUCGAAGCACAACAACAGUUUAAUGUGACAUGCAAGCCAUGUACAGAAAGCGUCAGAACUGUCACUGUCUGUGGCAUACCCUUUGUUUAUCAUGUUUGCAAGAAAACGCCGAAAUGUGAACCGGAGCCGUACGCAUUCGAUUUUUCAAAGUGCGCGGGAAAGAAUUUACGCUGCCUUUUUGCUACCGGUUGUAAAAGUGUAUAAGUAGAUGAAUUUUUAAAUGAAUGUGAAGAUGGCAGAAUGACAACUAUUGUAAGAAGCCAAUGACGGCACAAAUGAAAAAUAUUUAUUAGAAACUAGGUUAAACAUGUAAAUCUGCACCAGAUUACCUAGCAAGAAAUAAAUAAUAUACUAUUCUGUAAGUGUA